UCAGAUGUGAAAGCCCCGGGCUUAACCUGGGAACUGCAUUUGAAACUGGUCAACUAGAGUAUGGUAGAGGAAAGUGGAAUUUCUGGUGUAGCGGUGAAAUGCGUAGAUAUCAGAAGGAACAUCAAUGGCGAAGGCAGCUUUCUGGACCAAUACUGACGCUGAGGUACGAAAGCGUGGGUAGCAAACAGGAUUAGAUACCCUGGUAGUCCACGCCGUAAACGAUGAUAACUAGCCGUUGGGGGGAUUUACCCUUUAGUGGCGAAGCUAACGCGUUAAGUUAUCCGCCUGGGGAGUACGGCCGCAAGGUUAAAACUCAAAUGAAUUGACGG
rnacentral:rRNA from 1 species